UUUGUCUGCCGCCUGCUUUUUCUAGAACAACGCAGACUACUUUUAGGCUCAGAGGGAACAGUGGGGCUUUUCUGUUCAGGAGGAAAAGGCUGGUUGAAGAAUCCGAAGUCGGGGUUUCUGAGGCAGCUGCAGAGGAGCUUGCCUCCCGGGACAGCGAUGGUGCAGCCCUUAGCACCCACUCCAAGUGCUGUUUACGGCACAGGGCUCCAGAUGGAAACGUGAGGAUGCACAUGUUCUGAGUCCUCUCCCCGAAGAAGACGGGAUCGCACAGCUGUGUGCGAUCAUCAAGCUGUUUCACGAGAGACUUGGGUUUGUCGUCCGUCAGACACCUGGAGCCAAUCCAAGGGCAGAGCGAGGGGGUAAUGGUCAGGGCCGAGCCACUUCUCACAGCAGCAUCUCCUCCUCACGGUGCUCAGGGGCCUCUGUGAAUUAUCUUUAUUUAGCAGAACGAAAGAGGCUCGAAGACACAGGCAAAAUGGCACAGACAUUCAAGGACUCUGUUCCAGGAUUUUGAAUAAAGUGCAGAUAUUCCGACUAUCCACCCAGCAAGUCUAUGAAGUGUUUGCCCAAGAGAAACCUAUGCAGACAAAAAGACUUGCAGGGGAAGCAAUCCAAAUGUCCACAAACAAGAGAAUGGACAGAGACAGCCAUAUUAUGGAAUACUAUUCAGCAGUGAAAAAGAGCAAGCCACUACUACACAUACGGAACCUUGUCUGAGGUUCACAGACAAGCAGUGAGGCUCCAUGGGACUGAGCAGACCUGUGCUCUCCUCCGGAGAGAGAGCACUGUGGGUGAGGACGAGGACAGCUGAUCUGCGGUUCCGCCGAGGGUGUGGCGUUUGGCAGAUUUAAUGGAGCUGGAGGAGAAAGUAUUAACCAUGUCAUUAACCAUGUCAUUAAUAAAAGUAACAAAGUGA